UGCAAUUUUCAGCUCGAUUUUUAUGUCGACGUCCAUUCUUUCCUCAUGAAAAUCAAACCACUAUUUUAAUUUAUUCCAAACACAGCAUUGUAAUAUUUACAUUAUGUGCACGUACUGUCGGUCACGCGGAAUGCAAGAGAAAAUCCGCCGUUAAAUUGAGUCACGAAUCCUGAUACCCACAAAAGGAACGUGAAAAAGAGCAGGAAAAGGAAAGAGCACUAGCGGCGAAGCAGACAGAAAAGAACAAACAGAAGAGACAGAUUCAAGCUUUGUCUUUUAAUCUGGACGAAGACGAAGAUGAAGCUGAGAUGUCUUCUGACGAAGACAAUGCCAAAAAAUCCCCGCAGUCAGAAAAUGUGCAAUUUGAUGGCCCUGCGAUUAAGAAGAUUUAGAAAAAUCCAGAUGUAGAUACAUGUUUUUUGCCAGUAGGGAAAGGGACGAGGAGAAAAAUAAACUUAGGGAAGAAUUGAGAUAAGAAUGGGGUAGAAAGCAGAACGCGUUGAAGGAAGAAGAAAUUGAGAUCACAUUCAGUUAUUGGGAUGGAUCUGACCAUCGUCGGAGUGUUAUAAUGAAGAAAGGUAAUUCUAUCUAUUAGGUUCUUUAGAGAUGUUUAGAAGUUCUGAGGCGUGAAUUCAGCGAGCUUAAAACAGUAAUGGCAGAUCAGUUAAUGUAUGUCAAGGAGAAUCUUAUAUUACCGCACCAUUAUACGUUUUACUGCAACUAUAACUGAUUUUAUUGUAACUAAGGUAAAUAU